AUUGAACGCUGGCGGUAUGCUUAACACAUGCAAGUCGAACGAUGAGAAAGAGCUUGCUCUUUCGAUUAGUGGCGGACGGGUGCGUAACGCGUAGGAAUCUACCUAUUAGUGGGGGACAACUUAGGGAAACUUAAGCUAAUACCGCAUACGCCCUACGGGGGAAAGAAGGGGAUCGCAAGACCUUUUGCUAAUAGAUGAGCCUGCGUAGGAUUAGCUAGUUGGUGGGGUAAAAGCUCACCAAGGCGACGAUCCUUAACUGGUUUGAGAGAAUGAUCAGUCACACUGGAACUGAGACACGGUCCAGACUCCUACGGGAGGCAGCAGUGGGGAAUUUUGGACAAUGGGCGAAAGCCUGAUCCAGCCAUUCCGCGUGAGUGAAGAAGGCCUUCGGGUUGUAAAGCUCUUUCGCAAGGGAAGAACACUUACUUAAUAACACUAAGUGAGGUUGACGGUACCUUGAUAAGAAGCACCGGCUAACUACGUGCCAGCAGCCGCGGUAACAC
rnacentral:rRNA from 1 species